ensembl:lncRNA
AAACACAACAUUUAUCUCCUGCUCUGUGGGGGAGCAGGAUGGAUUGCCUCUGCAUUACUUUCAUCAUGAUCUUGUAAUAAGUGUCCAGAACAACUGCAUACCCCAGGGGGCUUUGUGUUCAGAGAGGAGAUAUAACUUCUGGUAACAUCACCUGAUGUCCCUUUUUUCCUUCAGCUCUACUCCCUGCUGCUCGACCCAACUGCGUGUCUCACUUCAAAAUUAUGACUUGAGAUCUGGAUCCUGUUCCCAGCUUUGGUGUUGCAAUUUCCUGUUCCACCCAUUCCUUCCAAUAUGCAGGGCUAUUGGAAAAACACUUCAGACAGAAAUAUUUUAUCUUGCAUCUGGCUCAGCUGCACAAAGAUUCACAAGAGUAACAGGACUUUUGGUGAGUUCUGGCAUAAUGAAAUGGAUGGGGAAAGCCAGGUGCCGGGAAGAAGGAUGCGAAGAUCUGAAGGUGAAUAUUCUGCUGGUGGUGACACUGAACUUAAAGCAAGGAGACUGGCUAAUGGAAAUGAUUAUGGAAGUGGAAGUGACAGCUGCUGAAGUGGAAGGGAAAACUGAAGAUUUAAAGUGCCGAAAAUAUGUUUGCAGCACUGAAGAGAGGUUCUGUUGUUUCACUCUUUCUCACACUCAUCUGUGUAUAAAAACCAAUGCAUUUUCCACAAAAUUUUCUUCAAAACAGAUGUAUUUGGGUCCCUUCAUUAAGUUAAUAUUUUCCUAAUUUCUCUCAUGUGCUGGAAAGGAAUACUUAGCUUUUAAUUAAAUUUUAAUUAAAAUUAAGAAUUACUGUUUUUCUAACAUUUAUUUCUUUAUGUUAUGAGAUCUGUAAAGAUGAGCUAGAAAG